rnacentral:rRNA from 1 species
CGGAAUUACUGGGCGUAAAGCGCGUGUAGGCUGCUUCGCAAGUCGGAUGUGAAAGCCCUGGGCUCAACCUAGGAAGUGCAUUCGAAACUGCGAAGCUGGAGUCCUGGAGAGGAAGGCGGAAUUCUCGGUGUAGAGGUGAAAUUCGUAGAUAUCGAGAGGAACACCGGUGGCGAAGGCGGCCUUCUGGACAGUGACUGACGCUGAGACGCGAAAGCGUGGGGAGCAAACAGG